rnacentral:rRNA from 1 species
AUAUUGGUCAAUGGAGGCAACUCUGAACCAGCCAUGCCGCGUGAAGGAUGACGGCCCUAUGGGUUGUAAACUUCUUUUAUAGAGGAAGAAACUUGUCUACGUGUAGACAACUGACGGUACUCUACGAAUAAGGAUCGGCUAACUCCGUGCCAGCAGCCGCGGUAAUACGGAGGAUCCAAGCGUUAUCCGGAUUCAUUGGGUUUAAAGGGUCCGUAGGCGGAUCUUUAAGUCAGUGGUGAAAGCCGACAGCUCAACUGUCGAACUGCCAUUGAUACUGGAGACCUUGAGUACAAAUGAAGUAGGCGGAAUGGGUCAUGUAGCGGUGAAAUGCAUAGAUAUGACUCAGAACACCGAUUGCGAAGGCAGCUUACUAACAUGUAACUGACGCUGCGGGACGAAAGCGUGGGGAGCGAACAGGAUUAGAUACCCUGGUAGUCCACGCCGUAAACGAUCAUCACUCGCUGUUGGCGAUAUACUGUCAGCGGCCAAGCGAAAGUA